rnacentral:rRNA from 1 species
AUUGAACGCUGGCGGCGUGCUUAACACAUGCAAGUCGAACGAUGAAGCUAGAGCUUGCUCUGGUGAAUUAGUGGCGAACGGGUGAGUAACACGUGAGUAACCUGCCCUUGACUCUGGGAUAACUGCGGGAAACUGUAGCUAAUACCGGAUACGACCCUCGGCGGCAUCGCCAGGGGGUGGAAAGAAUUUCGGUCAAGGAUGGACUCGCGGCCUAUCAGCUAGUUGGUGAGGUAACGGCUCACCAAGGCGACGACGGGUAGCCGGCCUGAGAGGGUGACCGGCCACACUGGGACUGAGACACGGCCCAGACUCCUACGGGAGGCAGCAGUGGGGAAUAUUGCACAAUGGGCGCAAGCCUGAUGCAGCAACGCCGCGUGAGGGAUGACGGCCUUCGGGUUGUAAACCUCUUUUAGUAGGGAAGAAGCGAAAGUGACGGUACCUGCAGAAAAAGCACCGGCUAACUACGUGCCAGCCGCCGCAGUAA